GACGAACGCUGGCGGCGUGCCUAAUACAUGCAAGUCGAGCGGAUGGAAGGAAGCUUGCUUCCUAAAGUCAGCGGCGGACGGGUGAGUAACACGUGGGCAACCUGCCCCUAAGAUCGGGAUAACUUCGGGAAACCGGAGCUAAUACCGGAUAUGAUUAUUCCUCACAUGAGACGUAAUGGAAAGACGGUUUCGGCUGUCACUUAGGGAUGGGCCCGCGGCGCAUUAGCUAGUUGGUGAGGUAACGGCUCACCAAGGCGACGAUGCGUAGCCGACCUGAGAGGGUGAUCGGCCACACUGGGACUGAGACACGGCCCAGACUCCUACGGGAGGCAGCAGUAGGGAAUCUUCCGCAAUGGACGAAAGUCUGACGGAGCAACGCUGCGUGAGUGAAGAAGGUUUUCGGAUCGUAAAACUCUGUUGUUAGGGAAGAACAAGUACCAUAGUAACUGAUGGUACCUUGACGGUACCUAACCAGAAAGCCACGGCUAACUACGUGCCAGCCGCCGCGGUAACAC
rnacentral:rRNA from 1 species